rnacentral:tRNA from 1 species
GGAGAGAUGGCUGAGUGGCCGAAAGCGAUCGCCUGCUAAGCGAUUGUACGCCCCUUAAAGGUGUACCGCGGGUUCGAAUCCCGCUCUCUCCGCCA